GACAGAGGCCCCAAGCGUUAGGCGGAAUCACUGGGCUUAAAGCGUGUGUAGGCGGACGCCUAAGUGUCUUGUGAAAUCCCACGGCUCACCCGUGGAACUGCUGGGCAUACUGGGCGUCUUGGGCCAACUAGGGGCAGUCGGAACAAGCGGUGGAGCGGUGAAAUGCGUAGAUAUCGCUUGGAACGCCGAAGGUGAAAACAGGCUGCUGGGGUUGUGCCGACGCUGAGACACGAAAGCCAGGGGAGCAAACGGG
rnacentral:rRNA from 1 species